UACCAGACUCCUACGGGAGGCAGCAGUAAGGGAUAUUGGUCAAUGGGGGAAACCCUGAACCAGCAACGCCGCGUGAGGGAAGACGGUUUUCGGAUUGUAAACCUCUGUCCUCUGUGAAGAUGAUGACGGUAGCAGAGGAGGAAGCUCCGGCUAACUACGUGCCAGCAGCCGCGGUAAUACGUAGGGAGCGAGCGUUGUCCGGAUUUACUGGGUGUAAAGGGUGCGUAGGCGGCUUGGCAAGUCAGUAGUGAAAUCCAUGGGCUUAACCCAUGAACUGCUAUUGAAACUGUCGAGCUUGAGUGAAGUAGAGGUAGGCGGAAUUCCUAGUGUAGCGGUGAAAUGCGUAGAUAUUAGGAGGAACACCGGCGGCGAAGGCGGCCUGCUGGACCGUAACUGACGUUGAGGCUCGAAAGCGUGGGGAGCAAACAGGAUUAGAUACCCAGUA
rnacentral:rRNA from 1 species